rnacentral:rRNA from 1 species
GAUGAACGCUAGCUACAGGCUUAACACAUGCAAGUCGUGGGGCAUCAUGAUGUAGUAAUACAUUGAUGGCGACCGGCGCACGGGUGAGUAACGCGUAUCCAACCUACCCUCCACUCAAGUAUAGGCUUCCGAAAGGGAGAUUAAUCCUUGAUAUCGUCAUUCUCUCUCCUGUUAGAAUGAUAAAAGGACAUCGUUUCGGUAGAGGAUGGGGAUGCGUUCCAUUAGGUAGUAGGUGGUUUAACAGGCCACCUAGCCGAUGAUGGAUAGGGGUUCUGAGAGGAAUAUCCCCCACACUGGUACUGAGAUACGGACCAGACUCCUACGGGAGGCAGCAGUGAGGAAUAUUGGUCAAUGGGCGCAAGCCUGAACCAGCCAUGUAGCGUGAAGGAUGACGGUUUUUUUGAUUGUAAACUCCUUUUCUGUGCGAUUAAAGUGUGGCAUUUAUG